rnacentral:rRNA from 1 species
GAUGAACGCUGGCGGCGUGCCUAAUACAUGCAAGUCGAGCGAACGGACGAGAAGCUUGCUUUUCUGAUGUUAGCGGCGGACGGGUGAGUAACACGUGGAUAACCUACCUAUAAGACUGGGAUAACUUCGGGAAACCGGAGCUAACACCGGAUAAUAUUUUGAACCGCAUGGUUCAAAAGUGAAAGACGGUCUUGCUGUCACUUAUAGAUGGAUCCGGGCUGCAUUAGCUAGUUGGUAGGGUAACGGCCUACCAAGGCAACGAUGCAUAGCCGACCUGAGAGGGUGAUCGGCCACACUGGAACUGAGACACGGUCCAGACUCCUACGGGAGGCAGCAGUAGGGAAUCUUGCGCAAUGGGCGAAAGCCUGACGGAGCAACGCCGCGUGAGUGAUGAAGGUCUUCGGAUCGUAAAACUCUGUUAUUAGGGAAGAACAUAUGUGUAAGUAACUGUGCACAUCUUGACGGUACCUAAUCAAAAAGCCACGGCUAACUACGUG